UACGAAGGGGGCUAGCGUUGUUCGGAUUUACUGGGCGUAAAGCGCACGUAGGCGGCCUAUUAAGUCAGGGGUGAAAUCCCGGGGCUCAACCCCGGAACUGCCUUUGAUACUGGUAGUCUUGAGUUCGAGAGAGGUGAGUGGAAUUCCGAGUGUAGAGGUGAAAUUCGUAGAUAUUCGGAGGAACACCAGUGGCGAAGGCGGCUUACUGGAUCGAUACUGACGCUGAGGUGCGAAAGCGUGGGGAGCAAACAGG
rnacentral:rRNA from 1 species